GAAACUGCCGGUAAUACCAGAUAAUGUCUCCGGACCAAAGGUGUAAUUCCGUCCGAGGAUGAGUCCGCGUCCUAUUAGCUUGUUGGUGGGGUAAUGGCCUACCAAGGCUUUGAUGGGUACCGGGUGUGGGAGCAUGACCCGGCUCACUGGGACUGAGACACUGCCCAGACACCUACGGGUGGCUGCAGUCGAGAAUCUUCGGCAAUGGGCGCAAGCCUGACCGAGCGACGCCGCGUGCGGGAUGAAGGCCUUCGGGUUGUAAACCGCUGUCAGAGGGGAGGAAAUGCAUGGGGGUUCUCCCCUGUGUUUGACCUAUCCUCAGAGGAAGUACGGGCUAAGUUCGUGCCAGCAGCCGCGGUAAUACGAACCGUACGAACGUUAUUCGGAAUCACUGGGCUUAAAGAGUGCGUAGGCGGCUUGGAAAGUUGGGUGUGAAAUCCCUCGGCUCAACCGAGGAAUUGCGCCCAAAACUUCCAGGCUUGAGGGGGGCAGAGGUAAGCGGAACUAAUGGUGGAGCGGUGAAAUGCGUUGAUAUCAUUAGGAACACCUGAGGCGAAAGCAGCUUAC
rnacentral:rRNA from 1 species